AGAGUUUGAUCMUGGCUCAGAACGAACGCUGGCGGCAGGCUUAACACAYGCAAGUCGAACGGGGUGUAGCAAUACAUCAGUGGCAGACGGGUGAGUAACACGUGGGAACCUUCCUCGUUGUACGGGACAACUCAGGGAAACUUGAGCUAAUACCGUAUACGUCCGAGAGGAGAAAGAUUUAUCGCAAUGAGACGGGCCCGCGUCGGAUUAGCUAGUUGGUGGGGUAACGGCCUACCAAGGCGACGAUCCGUAGCUGAUCUGAGAGGAUGRUCAGCCACACUGGGACUGAGACACGGCCCAGACUCCUACGGGAGGCAGCAGUGGGGAAUCUUGGACAAUGGGCGCAAGCCUGAUCCAGCCAUGCCGCGUGAGUGAAGAAGGCCUUAGGGUUGUAAAGCUCUUUUGCCAGGGACGAUAAUGACGGUACCUGGAGAAUAAGCCCCGGCAAACUUCGUGCCAGCAGCCGCGGUAAUACGAAGGGGGCUAGCGUUGUUCGGAUUUACUGGGCGUAAAGCGCACGUAGGCGGRUCGUUAAGUCAGGGGUGAAAUCCCGGAGCUCAACUCCGGAACUGCCUUUGAUACUGGCGAYCUUGAGGCUGGAAGAGGUUAGUGGAAUUCCCAGUGUAGAGGUGAAAUUCGUAGAUAUUGGGAAGAACACCAGUGGCGAAGGCGGCUAACUGGUCCAGAUCUGACGCUGAGGUGCGAAAGCGUGGGRAGCAAACAGGAUUAGAUACCCUGGUAGUCCAAGGGCGAAUUCGUUU
rnacentral:rRNA from 1 species